AGGAGGGAAAAGUAGAACAGCAAAAUGGCCCAAAGAGUCAAAAUACCAUGUCCAUGAGAACAGAAGAGAGUAACGUGUUUGAGUCUAAACAGUGUGUCCUUGAUCACAGCUGGAGGGCCAAUCAUUCCCAUUCACCUUCCCAGAAUAAAGACGCCUGUGGUGGGGACAGCUCAUUGGCAGUGUCACCUAAGAGAAGACUUCCUUCCUGGAGCCCUUCUGUGGAUCAGAGGCUCCAACUGACUGUUUCUGUUCUCCAGGCUUCCGCAGUUGCUUUCUGCUGGAUGACAUCCUAACCCAAAAGCUUGUUUGAGGCUGGGCUCUUCCAGAAACAAUAUGAUCAUCCCAAGUGACAGUGUGUACAGAUGCUGGAGUCCUGGGAAACACUUGGAAUUCUAACAGGUGGUGAUGCUCAGGCUGAACCACGAACCCUGGGCCUUCUCCAUGGUAGGCCGCUGCUUUACCACUGAGCUACGCCCUCAGCUCUGCUCUAGCAGUCUAAACUUCCCUCACACCUCCUUCACUUUGGCUCAAGCUCAAUAACAGUCCUAGAAUAUGAACAAUGUUAUCAACAGUGUGUUUAUUCUCUUCUGUUUCUAAAUGGUCCACCUUAAAUGUAUACAACUAUCAGUCUUCUUUUCCACUACAACUCUGACUUUAUCUUGGUCUCUUCAUACUCUUCUAUUUGAAUACAUUAUUUGCACUAAAGUUGAGGUAUCCAUUCUAUGCCUACCCCUGCCUUUGGAGACAAGGGGUCUGACUAUAUAAACCAGGUUGGCCUUGAACUCAUAGAGGUCCGCCUGCCUCUGCAUCCUGAGUGCUGGCAUUAAAGGCGUGCGCUAUGCCCAGCUAUACUGACACUUUUAAUUACUACGAGGCCUUCAAUCUAUUCAUGAACCUGUACCCUUGUGUCUUCAGUCUUCUUCCAAGAGAGACUCAAAACUGCACUCGACUCUCACACACUUCUCCAUCACUCUGUUCCACUGAGGCCGACCUGUCAUUCUUAUUCAUCUCAUUCCCAUUUGUUUACACUGUACCAGGGAACCAAAUUCCAUUUGACCUAGCCAAAAGUACUAAAGAAGUAGCGUGCUUGCUUUAAACCUAUUACUGGGUAAUGCUGGUGGAAACUGUAAUUUUAAAUGUCAUUCCAUUGCUUUUUAAGUUUUAGGUCACUGAUGGCAUAGUUAUUUAACAUUUAUACUAAGUAACAGAGAAUCAGCAGUAGAGUUGGAUUUUAAAUGGAAGUGAGAAUGGGACAUGCGGAUCUGCAUGCUGGCUUUUAUUCAUAACUGAGAAGUGUCUGAGCAGUGACUACUGUAUUCACAAUGCUGGUAACAGCUCCUAGACAUCUGAAAACUGAACACAACUGGUAGACCGUGUUUAUAAAAAAAACCAAAAGACUUCUGGAUUCAGGCAUGAAAAAAAAUGGUCAAACUCAGGACAGGAUUUCAAACAGUUAAACAAGCUUUUACCAAAGAAGUGUAAAGACAACCUAAUCUCACCUAAGGACAGUCUGAAGCGUCUGGAAAAUUAAAACUUCUGCCACACUUCAGACCACCUACUGACCCACACGGUAGAAGAAAGUUCCAGCAAACUGUCCUAUCUAAAUAUGUCUUUUAAACUGAAAGGAUGACCUCUAAAAGAGCUUUGUUCAUAUUGCUGGAAAAGUCCUUUCAAGUGGAUCAGGAAACAGAUGAAGGAAAAUGACACCGGCCACUCCAGGUAUCCAGUUUUGAGCCAACUCCACCUCAUCAACCCACACUGUCAUUCUACUGAAGACUUAACAAACAUGAAAACGAGCCUCGGAGCCUGAUCUGAGAGUCCUGAAAUUCAAGGUCACAUUGCAUAGGACAUCAAUCCCAGGCUGGGCCAGGCUGAAACCUUUCCGAACUUGCUCAGGAGACUUUCUACUGAGAGAUGCUAAAGGCUACCGAAGCACAGUCUAAUGUCAUUUCUGUUCCUCUAGUCUGAACUAUGAGUUCCCUGUCAGCACAGCCCAUGCUUGUUUACAUAACUGUUUUCCAACUCGGUAGAACAGCAAGAGCGAAGAAACCUGUUAAAUAACAAGGGGACACUAAAUGUUAUCACCGCCACGCCUGACAUCAGGGCAGGUUAUUCUAAAUGGGCUUCACCUGGAACAGGGACCAUAAUUUUAACAAACAAGUUUAACAUGGGUCUAUAAACCUCUCGUGCUUUCCUGAUCUGAAGGACAGCACACAGAAUAGACGUGUGCUGGGCACAGUGUUAAAACCUGGGUUGUUACUGUGUGUGUGGUACUUCUGUGGAGUGGCUGAACACAUCAUUCUGGGCGAGCUACGCAACUGUGGCUGCUACGUGAUACCGUCACUUCUGAAACAAAACCUGUUUGUCAAUUCCUACAGAAAGAACAUUGGAUAGGUGACUCCCUGUUCUCUGACUUUGGUACUGUUUUCUACUUAAGUCAGGUAGAAAAACUUAACUUAAAACUUUCAAAAUUAGAGCAAUAACUUUUUUUGGCCUAUUGUUUUUGAAUAAAGAUUAUGAGACAACACACAAAGAAAGACAAACAUCAUAAAAUAACUUUUAUACAGGAUUAGUAGAUCUGUUUACAUAUAUAAAAAACAAAGGACCUCAUUACAGUUAGAUUUCACAUAAAUUACACAGAUUAACUUUUUAAAACUACUAUUCAAUUCUUUUAAAGUUCCUUUUAAAUUUUUCGUUUUGAAGGCACAGUGCAUGAAAUCCAACAAAGACCAAAGCACUUAGGAGGAAUGGGUGUCAGGCAUGCCACAGAAAUAGCUAAGGGUGGUUUGGGAGCUGGGGAGGAUCAUUCUGAAAGAAAGCAGAGAGGUGAAAAGAACAUAAAAAAUUCCAUGUCAUACCUCCAAAAAAUCUGCAGCACAGAAUGUAGCUAGUACAUUCAUGUUAUGCCACUUAUAAACAUCGUCAUUGUCUAUAUUUACAUAAUUUUUAUCCAACUGCCUCAAAAUGGUAACCUACUUUCAACUUUCAGAAUCAACCAGGGGAGUAUUCUCAGAGUCAGUGGAACCAUUAAUGAUUUUUUGCCAAAUAUAAAAAGAGAAGUGGGUGUUGGGAAGGUUUUCUUCAAGAACUAGAAAUCCAAACUCAAUUGACAUUAAUCAAAGGCCCUACUCACCCUCUCCCCCAAAACCUGCUAUAAUUAAAAUUAACCAGAAACCUAAAGUUAUCAACAAGUUGCUAUACAGAAAGAUCAUUGAAUAUUUAACUAUUAGUGGAAUUUUAGUAAUAAUAAAGAAAAAACUGGGGAAAAUGCCGGGCUGCUACCGUAAAACAAUCCCGCCAGAGACCCACAUCACAGGACAGCAUGACAGAUUCAUAGCCAAGAAGCUUCUAAGAGAGCAGGGAUAAAACCUGGCACAAGUGUGAGUGUGACAAGACAAUAAACAUAUUUAAUGCUGGGGAUAAGUAGAAAUCAAUGGAGUAGCGAGUCUUGGUUUCUGGUAACCUGGGGCUAGCUCAAAAACACAGCAAGUUCAGACAUAAGUACUACCUUUUUAUUUUUCCACUCAUAAUUAGUUUUAAAUUUAAUAUUCACUAAUUCAGCAAAUCUCAUUCAGAUGAAAUCACUAAUCUUUAAAGAUUAACCAAGCACACUGAGCCAAAAAUACAAUGUUUCCUUCCUUGAGGCUGACAGAGUCCCAAAGCCAGUUCCCUUCAGUGAGGACCAAAAGUCCUCUUUGCUGGAUCAGAUCCCAUCACCACCCAGAGUUCCACCAGAUACACUUGGCAAUCUUUGUCAGUACAAGUGCAUCCUCACAGGCAGACACUUUAAACAUCACCUACCAAUCAUGUAGCCUUUAUUAAGGAGCAGGGAGGGGAGGCUUAUAAACUCAUCACCAGGACAAAACAAAGCCUGUGAGCAAAGGAAAGGCACAUCUCAGACUGGGGCAAAGUUCCUAAUACUGUGACACUCGGGUCCGUGACUACAGAAAUGGCAAGUCUCCAGGAGAAACACUGAAGGAAUGCAUUCCCCAUCCCAUAUGGCUUCAGUGCCCUCUGCUGCCAAAGCGGUCCAACAUUCGAUUAGAUCCACAAACAAAAAAAGGCAGGGCUAAGAACACAGUCUUAGUAGGCAUGGAUCGUGUACAUUCAUGUUCAUAGGUAACAGAGGGUGGAGAGGGCUGGCUUUCCAGCUCAAUGCAUUAGACGUUCACCAAAGACUUGAAACUUAGAGCAGAAUUUGGGUUCAUUUCAGGAAAAAGUAUUCUGUAUAUUCACCUCUAAAAAUUCCACACAUACUUUAAAAGGCAUGGCCUCUGACCACUGAGAUGGACUGUUAAGAACACACUUAAUCCGAGAACAAGCGGCAAGGUGUUCUUUGGUGAACACCAACGCUAGUAAAGCAAAGGCUGUCAUGUCUUUGUAAUGUACUCUAGCUGUAAUGUCCCGAGCAGGGCCCAGCCACAAGCCCCUUGUUGGUUUUCUGACUUGGCACUUUGAAAAAUAAAGCUGAAAAAGAGCAAUACACAUCAUUUAGAAAAACACAAAGUGUUAUUA